AUUGGAGUACAAGCUAAUCAACACAGAAAUUUGGAAGAAUGGAUGAAAAAGAAGAAAGAAAUUCCAGAGAAAAGAGAAGCUUCGGAGAAGUCGAAGAUGUUGUCCCAAAAUCAAUUAUUUGAUAACCAUCUUGCACAAACACAUGGAACACCGAGGACCAUUGAUCAAAGAUGUACUGGGCACAAUCUUCACCGUCCAGCUGUCCCUAUUUCCAGCUGUAGCAAUGCUCAUGAUCAGCACACAAAAGAAUAUACCUAGUACAAAUUGUUAUUCCUAGACUAGUAAUAAUAGGACAAGUGUAAAUACUACUUUUCUUUUAUUUUUAUUCAUUAUCUACAUAGAGAUGUAUAAAUAGGAGUAAUGGACAAAUGAAAACAAUAAGCAAACUUUCUUUUCAAGUUUUAUCUUCCAUUUUCUAAUAUGGUAUCAGAGCGGAGAGAAAGGGAUUGAAGAAUAUGUUGAUUCUGUAAUGAAAGGGCUGAAAAGGAAAAAGUAGAAGGGUGGACAGGGGUAGAAAAACAAGCUUGGGUUACAUUAGUGAGAAUCACAUUAUUGCAUAUGUAAUCACUAGGAUACUGUGGUUUCUUAGAAGGUCUAGUAGUUCUCCUCGAAGAAAUUGGAGAAGAGAGAUUAGAGGGAGAUUGAGGAAUGAUAGGAGAGAUUGGAUGAUCACUGUUUGAAGGAGAUGAUAGUGAAGGUAAGAAAGGGCUAGGUGGUUGACUCGGAGUGACUGGAGAAGGACUAUCCAGGGGUGGAAGUGAAUCAGAAGUAGGUUCAAGAGUGGCAAAAGGAAUAUCAUCACAAGUAGGAUUAGGUAUGUGAAAAGAAGGAGAAGAAAGAGGAAAAACAUAUUGUUGUUGUGAAAUAUUGGAAGCAAAAGGGAAAACAUCCUCAUGAAAUUUCACAUCUCUGGAAAUGAAAAUUGUCUUAGUUUCUAAACCCAGACACUUGAAACCCUUUUGAUGGUCCGGAUACCCUAGAAAAACGCAAGGUGUUGCUCUAGGCUGAAAUUUGUUUCUAUUUUUAGCUAACGUAGAAACAUAGAUCAAAUAACCAAAAAUCCUUAGCCUUUCAUAGGCAGGUUUGCUUUUGAAUAGAACUUCAUAUGGGGACUUACCUUUCAAAACAGUAGAAGGAAAUAUGCUAAUAAGAUGAGUAGUUGUAAGCAAACAUUCACCCAAAUAUGAAAUAUGAACCUUUGACUGGAAGAACAAUGCCCUAGAGAUCUCCAAUAGAUGCCUAUGUUUCCUCUCCACAACCCCAUUUUGUUGUGGAGUUGAGACACAAGAAGUCUGAUGCACUAUCCCUUCAGAUGAUAAAUAAGCUGAAGUCUCAAUACUCUUUCCUAACUCAAGAGCAUUGUCUGACCUGAUAACUUUAACCUUGACACUGAAUUGUCUCUCCACCAUGGCUAAGAAAGUCUUUAAAACAGGAAAAACAUUAGCCUUUGUUUUCAGCAAAUAAGUCCAAGUUCCUCUGCUAAAAUCAUCAACAAUAGUAAGAAAAUACUUGAAACCAUUGUGAGUAGAGUCUUUAUAAGGUCCCCAAAUGUCAAUGUGGAUGAGUUCGAAAAUCCUCUUGGAUUUGAUAUGACUUAUGGGGAAAGAUAACCUAGAUUGCCUUGCCAAGGGACAAACAUCACAAGAACAUUCAGAAAUAGAGUGAAAAUUAAGAGAACUGAUGUUUUGCAUUGCAUGAAAAGGCAAAUGCCCCAAUCUCUUAUGACAUAGCAUUACAUCAGAUUUUGAUUUGACAGAAAUAGGAACUGAAAGAGAAACUGAAAUAGAUUUAGAAGAUACAUCAGAUCCUAAGACAUCUUGAUGACUCCUAAAAUAACCCAUAUUGCUAGAACUAUCAGGUUGCAGUAAGAACAGUCCAUCCUUAGCUUCACCAAAAACUUGAGCCCUCUUCAUAAAAGGGCCUGCAAAAGACAUCCAAUAGGAGUGAAUAGAAGAGUAGAUUGAAAUUGUUUGUCAAACUUAUCAACAGACAAUAAGUUGUAUCUGAAAGAAGGCACAUAUAAAACAUUUUGAAUCACUACAUCGGCAAAGAUAGAAAUAUUACCUAUGUGUGUAAUAUUGGCUUUAGUGAGAUUAGGAAGAAUGAUAAACAUAGGUGAAGGUAACGGAGUCAAAAACAUGAAAACUUUAGGAUUGAAGCAUAUAUGCUCAGAUGCCCCUGAAUCUAUAAUCCAAGACCUGGAAUUUAAUGUAGCAAGACAAGUAAAAGCAUGAGUAUAAGUUAUACCAUUUGAUGCAUUAGCAUUUCCGCUCAUAGUAGCAUCACUUGGAAUGACUGAGGCUGAAGACUCUCCUCCUUUGUUUCCUCUGUAGUACUGAAUAGCCUGUGAGUACUCUUCCUUAGUCAGAAAGUGACCUGAACUGUUAGGAUUGUGACCCAUAAUUCCUCUCAUGUUAGGAUUGUAGUUUACUCCCUCUAGUUCUUCUGCUGAAGCUGCAUUACUCUUGAUUGUAGGUAAACGUUUCUUUACUUUGCUAUUAGUGAAUUUAAAAUCCGAAGGAAAUCCAAUUAAUCGAUAGCAAUUAUCUUUGACAUGGUUUGUCUUCUUACAAUGAGUGCAAAAAAGAUUAGUAAUCUUUGAUGGAAACCUUGUACUAGACUUGUUAUCCCAAUUUCCUUGAAUCUGUGAUUGAGGUUUCUGAGUGACAUAGGCCUGAUUAGCAGUAUAUCCUUGUGCAUCUGCAUAACCUUGAUUUCCAACUCCCAGCUUUCUGACCAUGAAUGAAGAUGAACCAGUUGGUAUGUGUGCAUUCACAUAUGAUUCUCUCUGGUUUUCAUCUUGUAGGAGCAGAGAAUAAGCAUGGUGGAGAUUAAGAAGGGGCUUGAUCAUUAGUAUACUGCUUCUUGCUGGUGCAUAGGCUUCAUUUAAAUCCAUUAGAAACUUGAUAAGUCUCUCAUCUUCCAGAGACUUAGACAACUUCUGCUUUCCUCCACAAGCACAAUUGCAACUACACCUACUAUCUGAAUUUAAUGAAUCUAACUCAUCCCAUAGUCUCUUCAUUUUAGUGUAGUAUCCAGCAAUAUCAGAAUUAGCUUGAACAAAAUCACUAAGUUCCUUUUGCAAAUGAAAGAGUUUGGCUCCAUUUGAUUGUCCAAACCUCUGUUCCAGAUCUAUAUACAGAUCUCUAGCUGUUUUUGAAUAAAUCACACUGUCAGCUAUGUCCUUAGAUAAGGAGUUGAGUAGCCAUGAAGUAACCUGUCACGACCCGGGAGCACCCCCAAGUCGUAACAAGGCGUACUCGACCCCGAAGGGGUCUUAUACAAACCACAUAGUCAUUCAUUGCAUUCAAUAAUGAUAAUAGUGAGGAAUUAAAAACUUAUUUACAUCCAAACAUUCAAGCUUCAUUAAAACAACUUUAAAAACACACAGCGGAAGUCUAAGUCUCACAUGGCCAUCUUAGACACAAACAAAAACAUAAGUAGGGACACGGCCCUUUACAAUCAAAAAAAGUCGAUUAAGUCUAUUACAAGAACCUUAUCAUAAAAUUAGAAUAGAAAAGUCUUGUCCUCGACAUAUGAGGACAUACCACAAGAUCUUGGAAGAACUUCAAGUUCCAAGCUUACUAUAGAACCCGCUCACUUUCCGGAACCUACACUAGUAGAAAAUAGAGAAAUAUGGAAUUAGCACAAUUAAGUACUAAGUAUGAUGACCAUGCAAAACAUGCUUUAAAAGGGACAUUUUGGCUAGAAACCAUGCAUUAUGCCACUUUUUGAAGUAUCAUGAACAGUUGCAUAAAAGACAUACAAGACAAGCAUAAACAUCAAGUAAGUCAUAAUAUCACCUUUAAACAAUAUCAACAUGAAAACCUUUACCUUGGACCUUCACCUCAAGAAACCCUUAUGCUAUACCUCGUGCAAUGUAUGGAUGGCGUCCCAUACCACCAUCCAUACUAAGGCACCACAUUUAGGUCACUUAAAGUAACUUAUCAUUCCUUUCUUUCACCUUUGCACAAUAUUCAUACAUAAGAGGUAUAUCAUUAAUUAAGACAUGACAAGGGAAAAUAACUCAUAAUAUAACCCAAGUAUAGCAUGCAUCUCAUAUUAAGCAUUUGAGAGCCAACAUUCUUUAAUAACCUCAUUUAGGGUACAUUCAUGUCACAGUCAUUAGGAUUUAGAGAAACUCACUAUGACCCUCUCCAAGCCUACUCGUGCAAUGUAUAGGUAGCAUCCCAUACUACUACCUACACUUUGUAGAACCUGUCAAGAAACCAUAAUGAAAUCUCACAUGAUGGGAAGUAAGCAUUUAACCGACAUAGACCAUGAGAGCUUGUCAUGGAAUCCGGUGUCAUAAGUCCCCACACCGUAAAGAGGUGGUCUACUUGCCUAAGGAAGACCGGUAUAUAUAGCUUAAUGGAUCCACUAGCUUCCUAUGCGGGCACAUAGUUUAUGGGAUAAGGUAGACGAUCAUUGAAACUCAUGCCUAACUAUUGGGGGAGUUUCCAUCUAACCAAAUCCACUCGGUGCUUAGCCUACAUUCCCAUAGAAUAGUUCAUUACUUUGACAUCAUCACACAUGAAAGGGUGCCAUAAGCCUGCCGAUUCAAGGUACAUUUAGGAAAGCUCAUUAACUCCUCUUGAAAGGGUGCCAUGGGCCUACCGAUUCAAGUCUCAUCAUUAACCUUUAUGGAAAGGGUGCCAUAGGCCUGCCGAAUCCAAGGUUCAUUACUUAUCAUUAAUGGAAGGGUGCCAUAAGCCUACCGAUCCAAGGAUUCAACAAUCAACAAUAUAAUCAUUUAUACAAGAAAAUGAUGCAUAAGCCCUACCAAUUCAAGGUAUACUUUAUAUUGAAGAAUCCUUCAUAUUAUAUCAUCAACAUUCAUGAGUGUCAUCAACACAUCUAUGGAAUUUCCAUACAUCUCAUAACUCAAGCUUUAAAGCAUCGAUUCAUCAAUUCUCCAUAGUUGGACAUUUUGUCAAACACCUUGAAGGCAUGUAAUGGAAUCAAAGAGCAUGGAAAAUAGGGUAGUAAUUAUGCAACCAAACCAGUGAACAACCUACAACAACACCUUUACAUUCAUAACAUGAUCACAUUAUCUUCAUUGAACUCUCAUUCAUACAAUGUCAUGAUAACACUUCAAUUUCUCAUACUUUGCCUUUAAGGCCAUAAGCCUCUCAUACCAAUACACCAACAAUACACCAUAAAAUAAGCAUGGGUAAUGACAUACUUCAACAAUCUAAAGACCUUUAAACAAGUUUGAUUCAUAUACAUUCAUUAUCUAGCAACCCACUUCAUAAAGGCAUAAACUAGGAAUAAAGAGAAAUCAUGGGUUCAUGGAGUAUUUUCGUCAUAAAUCAUCAUUUAAACACUAAUACAAUCAUAAUAAGUCAUUAAUAACCAUUUGAAAACGUUUGAAGAAGGAACCCAUGAGUUAGAAUAAAAACCCUAGGUUUUGAAGAACUUGGAAGCUUUGAAAUCAUGUUUUGAAGGGACUCUAUGGGUGAAAGCUACCCAUAGAUGAAAAGCCACCAUACCUUUGCUAAGAUUCCCCAAGAAAAUUGAUGAAGAAAGCCUUGAAUCCAAAGCCCUAGCUCCCACUUCUUCUUCUUCUUGAGUUGGAGAGAAUAUUUGAGAAGUGAGGGAAAUGUUUUUAGGGAUGGGAAUGAACUAAUGAUAUAUAGGAAAUAAUAUAUGUCAUUUGGAAGAAAUGGUCCAACACUUAGAAAAUAUUUUGGGCGGAUGAACAGUAAAUGAACAGUAAUUUAGCUACUGGAAUUUCCGUUUUCUGCCGGACAGACUUUACGAAAAUGGGCAUAACUCCUUCGUCCGAACUCCGAAUGAGGUGAAACGAAGUGCGUUAGGUAGCUAACUCAAAGGGCUUUCCAUGGAUAUAUUAUUGGCCACCCAAAUAAUUUGUGUGCUAGGAGAUAUGACCCUCCAAAGUAGACCCUCGAAAAAGGCUUCACUUGGAAAUUUCGGAUUUUGAUACGGUUGCUCUAAAAUUUGGGUUAGACCCAUUUCCCACUCAAUUUGACCCCCUAAACAAGAAUAUGAAGUCGGAUUUUCGAAAAACGAAACGGAUCUUUUUAUAAGUAGCUAAACAAGUUUCCGGUAACUUCCGAAGCACAUUUUUAAGAACUUUUUGGGUCAAAUUCAAAUAUAAUCAUUUCAUUAAGUUCUCGACUCCAAACUCACAUGUGAGACUCUAGUUUCACUCUAUCAUUUUCCGAGUCGUUACAGAAACAUGUCGAACAAAAGGAAUAGCCUUAACAUACCUUUCCAAUGAACGCUCGAAAGACUGUUGUUCCUUCACGAAAGUUGUUCCUUAUGUCCUAAGCUUCNNNNNNNNNNNNNNNNNNNNNNNNNNNNNNNNNNNNNNNNNNNNNNNNNNNNNNNNNNNNNNNNNNNNNNNNNNNNNNNNNNNNNNNNNNNNNNNNNNNNNNNNNNNNNNNNNNNNNNNNNNNNNNNNNNNNNNNNNNNNNNNNNNNNNNNNNNNNNNNNNNNNNNNNNNNNNNNNNNNNNNNNNNNNNNNNNNNNNNNNNNNNNNNNNNNNNNNNNNNNNNNNNNNNNNNNNNNNNNNNNNNNNNNNNNNNNNNNNNNNNNNNNNNNNNNNNNNNNNNNNNNNNNNNNNNNNNNNNNNNNNNNNNNNNNNNNNNNNNNNNNNNNNNNNNNNNNNNNNNNNNNNNNNNNNNNNNNNNNNNNNNNNNNNNNNNNNNNNNNNNNNNNNNNAAACUCGGUGGCGUUGGAAAGAGGACUCAGAUACCUUUAAUUGGAUAGGUAAUGGUCGACCUAAUUCAUUUUGAGCUAAAAGAUAUGACCAUUUAAAGUUGACCCUCACUCCUAACUUAAAACUAAAAACUGUUUUUAGGGGACUGUUUUGAGGGUCUCGGUUCUAAAUGAUUUCAUGACCUAGCUUAAGGUCUUGCUAGCUUAUAAAGGUGAUUAAUCAACUAGCUAAUCAACCCCUUAAGUCCUUAAACAACACUCCAAACUCACAUGUGAGGCUCUAGUUUCACUAGUUCGUUUUUAGGGUCGUUACAUAACCAUGUCAUUGCAUCUACUCCAUGGUUGAUAUUCUGAUGAAUCCAGAUCUGGAAUUUUGCAGGUACCAUCUACGAAACUUAACUUAUUUUUGGCUGAGAGAGCUAUGAGAAUGGUCCUCCUCCAUCCCUGGAAACCCCUUCCAUCAAAGAUGAAGUUCACUAGGCUCAUCCCUGGUGAAUCUGAAGAGUGAAGAUAAAAAGGAUGACUGAUAUCGAUCUGAUUUCCAUUUCCAGUUUUAUUUGCAACAGUGGUCUCAACCAUGAGACGAGUCACUGCUGAAAUAACCUGGUUAAUUCGUCUCCUUACGGAUCUCUCUGUUUUGCCAAUGUUACCGGUUCCUGUUCACUCCGACAACCAAGCGGCCCUUCAUAUUGCUCGCAACCUAGUCUUUCAUGAGCGCACUAAGCACGUAGAUUUGGAUUGUCACUUCUUCAGACAACAAUUUCUUGCUGGUUUGAUCUCUCUCACCUUCGUCCCUUCAACUUCUCAACUUGCUGAUUUCUUUACAAAAACCCUUAUCAUGGAUUCCUCACCGCUUUGCAUUCGACAAGUUGGGUGUUGUUACACUCCCCUCCAACUUGAGGGGGGAUAUUGGAGUACAAGCUAAUCAACACAAAAAUUUGGAAGAAUGAAUGAAAAAGAAGAAAGAAAUUCUAGAGAAAAGAGAAGCUUCGGAGAAGUCGAAGAUGUUGUCCCAAAAUCAAUUGUUUGAUAACCAUCUUGCACAAACACAUGGAACACCGAGGACCAUUGAUCAAAGAUGUACUGGGCACAAUCUUCACCGUCCAGCUGUCCCUAUUUCCAGCUGUAGCAAUGCUCAUGAUCAGCACACAAAAGAAUAUACCUAGUACAAAUUGUUAUUCCUAGACUAGUAAUAAUAGGACAAGUGUAAAUACUACUUUUCUUUUAUUUUUAUUCAUUAUCUACAUAGAGAUGUAUAAAUAGGAGUAAUGUACAAAUGAAAACAACAAGAAAACUUUCUUCUCAAGUUUUAUCUUCCAUUUUCUAAUAU
rnacentral:lncRNA from 1 species